UACGUAGGGUGCAAGCGUUAAUCGGAAUUACUGGGCGUAAAGCGUGCGCAGGCGGUUAUGUAAGACAGGUGUGAAAUCCCAGGGCUUAAACUUGGAACUGCAUUUGUGACUGCAUAGCUAGAGUACGGUAGAGGGGGAUGGAAUUCCGCGUGUAGCAGUGAAAUGCGUAGAUAUGCGGAGGAACACCGAUGGCGAAGGCAAUCCCCUGGACCUGUACUGACGCUCAUGCACGAAAGCGUGGGGAGCAAACAGG
rnacentral:rRNA from 1 species